rnacentral:rRNA from 1 species
UACAGAGGGUGCAAGCGUUGUUCGGAAUUAUUGGGCGUAAAGCGCGUGUAGGCGGCUUUGCAAGUCGGGUGUGAAAGCCCUCAGCUUAACUGAGGAAGUGCGCCCGAAACUGCAGAGCUUGAGUACCGGAGAGGAUGGUGGAAUUCCCCAAGUAGAGGUGAAAUUCGUAGAUAUGGGGAGGAACACCGGUGGCGAAGGCGACCAUCUGGACGGAUACUGACGCUGAGACGCGAAAGCGUGGGGAGCGAACCGG